rnacentral:rRNA from 1 species
GACGAACGCUGGCGGCGUGCUUAACACAUGCAAGUCGAACGGAAAGGCCCUGCUUUUGUGGGGUGCUCGAGUGGCGAACGGGUGAGUAACACGUGAGUAACCUGCCCUUGACUUUGGGAUAACUUCAGGAAACUGGGGCUAAUACCGGAUAGGAGCUCCUGCUGCAUGGUGGGGGUUGGAAAGUUUCGGCGGUUGGGGAUGGACUCGCGGCUUAUCAGCUUGUUGGUGGGGUAGUGGCUUACCAAGGCUUUGACGGGUAGCCGGCCUGAGAGGGUGACCGGCCACAUUGGGACUGAGAGACGGCCCAGACUCCUACGGGAGGCAGCAGUGGGGAAUAUUGCACAAGGGGCGGAAGCCUGAUGCAGCAACGCCGCGUGCGGGAUGACGGCCUUCGGGUUGUAAACCGCUUUCGCCUGUGACGAAGAGUGAGUGACGGUAAUGGGUAAAGAAGCACCGGCUAACUACGUG